rnacentral:rRNA from 1 species
UACGGAGGAUGCAAGCGUUAUCCGGAAUGAUUGGGCGUAAAGCGUCCGCAGGUGGCAGUUCAAGUCUGCUGUCAAAGACCGGGGCUUAACUUCGGAAAGGCAGUGGAAACUGAACAGCUAGAGUAUGGUAGGGGCAGAGGGAAUUCCUGGUGUAGCGGUGAAAUGCGUAGAGAUCAGGAAGAACAUCGGUGGCGAAGGCGGCAUCCUGGACCGGUAUUGACGCUGAGGCGCGAAAGCUAGGGGAGCAAACGGG